AGGCACACUAUUAAGCUGACUAGGUCCCUUUCCCCGUGGGAGCCUGGAGUGCAAUGGUCACAAACAGCAGCCUCCUUGGUAGUAUAUGUAGCCUGUUGCCUAUAUGACUGCCCUACAGGACCCUGGAGGCCAUU
ensembl:snoRNA SNORA70 Small nucleolar RNA SNORA70